CUACGUGCCAGCAGCCGCGGUAAUACGUAGGUGGCAAGCGUUGUCCGGAAUUAUUGGGCGUAAAGCGCGCGCAGGCGGAUCAGUUAGUCUGUCUUAAAAGUUCGGGGCUUAACCCCGUGAUGGGAUGGAAACUGCUGAUCUAGAGUAUCGGAGAGGAAAGUGGAAUUCCUAGUGUAGCGGUGAAAUGCGUAGAUAUUAGGAAGAACACCAGUGGCGAAGGCGACUUUCUGGACGAAAACUGACGCUGAGGCGCGAAAGCCAGGGGAGCGAACGGGAUUAGAUACCCCGGUAGUCCUGGCCGUAAACGAUGGGUACUAGGUGUAGGAGGUAUCGACCCCUUCUGUGCCGGAGUUAACGCAAUAAGUACCCCGCCUGGGGAGUACGACCGCAAGGUUGAAGCUCAAAGGAAUUGACGGGGGCCCGCACAAGCGGUGGAGUAUGUGGUUUAAUUCGACGCAACGCGAAGAACCUUACCAGGUCUUGACAU
rnacentral:rRNA from 1 species